rnacentral:lncRNA from 1 species
CUGAAAGAGGAUGGCAAUCUCGCUGAAGCUGUUUCUUUUUCUUCACAACAUAUAGGAAAAUGUUGCCCUUUUUUGGAGUGGCGCACAGGGCGAUGACUAUAGAUUUUCAUCUGUAACUCCCAAAACCCUACUCAGAUUUUCAUCACUAUGCAGAUGUCUUGACAAAUAAGUUUCACUUCAUCUGUCAUUUCUGACUUCACUGGGAUAAUCAGGCCUCAUCCAGUCUUGGCAUGAAUG